ACUAAGUAAUUGGGGAAUCCAUAGUACCCCAAAAUCCAUUUAACAUUCCCAUGGAUCCGACAAUGUUCAUAAACAUUAACAGAGCAUGAAAAAUGCAUUAUAAUCCAUGGAAAAUCAAUUAAAUGAGUGAUCAUAUUAAAGACCUCAAUUGUGCAAAAAUCCACAUUUAAAAUCAUGAAUUUAAUAAUCAAUUGCAUACCAACAAUCAAGUACAAGUAUAG
rnacentral:lncRNA from 1 species